AAAAAAAUUAGUAUCAAAAGUACCCAAAAAAAAUAAAACCUUCUGAUUCUCCAUAAAUAAAGCCACACCCGCACAGGCCCAGACACCAUUAGGUUACAACGCGUACCCCUCCCUCUCUCUGUCUAGCAGUAUCCAUGGCGUCAGCCAACUCGGUAAAAAUUUUGGAGGUCUGCCAGGUUGCUCCGGCCAUAAAGUCAGGCGAAUCAGCCACAGCAUUAUCUCUCCCUCUCACAUUUUAUGAUAUAAGGUAUUUCAGAUUUCCUCCAGCUGAGCGUCUCUACUUCUACAAACUCACUGCCUCAUCCACAACAUUUUUCCAUUCUCAAAUCCUUCCACUCCUCAAACACGCACUCUCACAAACGCUUGUCCACUUCCUCCCUCUAGUUGGAAAACUCACUUGGCCAUCUCAUUCCUCCAAACCCAUCAUCGUCUACGCUCCCAAUGAUGCCGUUUCACUCACUGUUGCGGAGUCUUGUGCUGAUUUUAAUCGCUUGGUGGGCAAUGAAAUUCGUGAAGUAUCUGAGUCGUGGCCAUACGUACCCGAGUUGUUAGCAUCAGAUGCAAUGGCCUCUAUAAUUGCUUUGCAGAUUACUUUAUUUCCCAAUAAAGGAUUUUCCAUCGGCAUCGCUAUGAACCACACAGCACUCGAUGGAAGGAGCGCUUCCAUGUUCCUCAAAGCAUG
rnacentral:misc_RNA from 1 species